AUUGAACGCUGGCGGCAUGCCUAACACAUGCAAGUCGAACGAGAUCUUCGGGUCUAGUGGCGCACGGGUGCGUAACGCGUGGGAAUCUGCCCUUUGGUUCGGAAUAACAGUUGGAAACGACUGCUAAUACCGGAUGGUGACGAAAGUCCAAAGAUUUAUCGCCAGAGGAUGAGCCCGCGUAGGAUUAGCUAGUUGGUGUGGUAAAGGCGCACCAAGGCGACGAUCCUUAGCUGGUCUGAGAGGAUGAUCAGCCACACUGGGACUGAGACACGGCCCAGACUCCUACGGGAGGCAGCAGUGGGGAAUAUUGGACAAUGGGCGAAAGCCUGAUCCAGCAAUGCCGCGUGAGUGAUGAAGGCCUUAGGGUUGUAAAGCUCUUUUACCCGGGAUGAUAAUGACAGUACCGGGAGAAUAAGCUCCGGCUAACUCCGUGCCAGCCGCCGCCGUAAAAC
rnacentral:rRNA from 1 species